UCAGCCGCCGCGGUAAAACCAGCACCUCGAGUGGUCAGGAGGUUUAUUGGGCCUAAAGCAUCCGUAGCCGGUUGUUUAAGUUUUCGGUUAAAUCUAUGCGCUUAACGUAUAGGCUGCCGAAAAUACUGGACAGCUAGGGAGUGGGAGAGGUAAACGGUACUCAAUAGGAAGGGGUAAAAUCCUUUGAUCUGUUGAUGACCACCUGUGGCGAAGGCGGUGCACCAGAACACGUUCGACGGUGAGGGAUGAAAGCUGGGGGAGCAAACCGGAUUAGAUACCCGGGUAGUCCCAGCUGUAAACGAUGCAAACUCGGUGAUGCAUUGGCUUGUGGCCAAUGCAGUGCCGCAGGGAAGCCGUUAAGUUUGCCGCCUGGGAAGUACGUACGCAAGUAAGAAACUUAAAGGAAUUGGCGGGGGAGCACA
rnacentral:rRNA from 1 species